GGAGAGGUGUCCGAGCGGUCGAAGGAGCGCGACUGGAAAUCGCGUAAGCGGGGUUCCUCGCUUCGAGGGUUCAAAUCCCUCCCUCUCCG
rnacentral:tRNA from 1 species